rnacentral:rRNA from 1 species
UACGGAGGAUCCGAGCGUUAUCCGGAAUUAUUGGGUUUAAAGGGUCCGUAGGCGGGCCAUUAAGUCAGGGGUGAAAGUCUGCGGCUCAACCGUAGAAUUGCCUUUGAUACUGGUGGUCUUGAGUUAUGGUGAAGUGGCUAGAAUAUGUAGUGUAGCGGUGAAAUGCAUAGAUAUUACAUAGAAUACCGAUUGCGAAGGCAGGCCACUAACCAUAUACUGACGCUGAUGGACGAAAGCGUGGGUAGCGAACAGG